AGUGAACGCUGGCGGUAGGCCUAACACAUGCAAGUCGAACGGCAGCACAGUAAGAGCUUGCUCUUACGGGUGGCGAGUGGCGGACGGGUGAGGAAUACAUCGGAAUCUACUUUUUCGUGGGGGAUAACGUAGGGAAACUUACGCUAAUACCGCAUACGACCUACGGGUGAAAGCAGGGGAUCUUCGGACCUUGCGCGAUUGAAUGAGCCGAUGUCGGACUAGCUAGUUGGCGGGGUAAAGGCCCACCAAGGCGACGAUCCGUAGCUGGUCUGAGAGGAUGAUCAGCCACACUGGAACUGAGACACGGUCCAGACUCCUACGGGAGGCAGCAGUGGGGAAUAUUGGACAAUGGGCGCAAGCCUGAUCCAGCCAUACCGCGGGGGUGAAGAAGGCCUUCGGGUUGUAAAGCCCUUUUGUUGGGAAAGAAAAGCAGCAGGUUAAUACCCCGCUGUUCUGACGGUACCCAAAGAAUAAGCACCGGCUAACUUCGUG
rnacentral:rRNA from 1 species